rnacentral:lncRNA from 1 species
GGACGAGCAGGUGUAUGAAGAGGGGCGGGGCUUAGUGAGGCUCUCUGACUGGAUAUGAUUGGUGUUUUACAGCCACAGCACCCUGAGCAGCCCCGAUCUGACAUCAUCUCUGAAAAUCAAUCAAUAAUCAAUCAGCGAGUUUGUUUGAUUUUCACUGUGAACUUUGUUUCAAAGAUGGAGGCCACGCUGCUCUCAGAGGACUGUGUGUGGUUGUGGUAAACGUGUGAGCUGCUGCUGGUUCUUCCUCACAUGUUUGACAUGUUUCCACCUUUUUCACAGAUGUAAACGGGUCCAAAAGGCUCGAGUGGUUCUGGAUUUGACAGCACGAGGACUUUAUGUCUGCUUCCAAACAGAAAUGAAUGGUGGCAGCAGGAUUUCUGUCUCUACUUGGAGUUUGAUUUUGGCUGUUUGGUUUGUGUUAUGGUUUCUUUCAGUCCAUGUCACAGAUCCAGACACUGCACAUCCCGCUGACUUCACUGAGCUACAUGAGUUUGCUUAUUUUACUUUUGUUAUAGAACAUUUUUGCUCAGCUAUCAUAUCUGGCCUCCUCCCUUUGGUCCUUCCCAUGAGCUGUCAGAUAUCAGGAUGUUUCUAUAAAACCAAUUCCUGUAGACUUCAAAGCGACACUUUCAUCGGGAAGUUGAAAUGAGACGUGUUUAAUAAACUGGCACAUUUCUUUCUCCUGUUUUUACAAAGCUCUCAUUUUGGUGACGUCAUCAAAGAAAACACACCUUUCACUUCCCCUGAUGGUUUUUGGGCUCUGACUAUUUCCUGGAUCCUUUUAAUGGACUUAAAGUGGCCACGUUGUGUAACACGGAUCCUUUCAGCUCCUUCUGGAGAUGAUUCCAGGAAAAAGAUGGAGCUCAUUGAAAAGACUCUGAGCACAAACAUUAAAAUCCUGUGAGAGCGAAGCCUGAACUGAUUCUGCUUUUUCCUCAUGAAUGUUCACAGAUAAGAGGAGAGAUUCAGAGAGGAACCAACCAAUGUGAAAGUGAGAGACAGACGGAGACAGCAAGGAAGGAAAGUGAAAGGUUUCCAGGAUCAGACGAGUUCAGGUGGAUUCAUAAAGAGAGAUCAGCAAUAAAAGGAAUGAAGUGUUUCCUCAGCUGGAGGCAGAACCAGCAGCUGGACUGUUUCCCCACAGCUGGACUCACAGGUGAGACACCUGCAGCUUUACUGACACCCAGUGGACGCAGCAGGAAACUGCAGCAGCUCAGACAGUAAUUCAAGUGUUUAUUCAGGGCUGCUGUGGCUCAUUAAAAACUCUGAAAUACAAAUAAAUGAAGGUCUUCAAAUUUCUCAUAUUUCCACAGAAUCAUUAAAUGGAAGAUUUUUUCAGACUGGAAGGAAAAAAUAAAGCCAAGAAGAAUUUUUUCAGUCAGUUUUAAAGUUUGACUCGCUCAGCGUCUCUCCUCUUAUCACCGCUGAUCAGACACAUUUAUUUAUUUGAAGAUGCAGUUAGCGGCUGACACGCUGAUGAUGCUCAGUAGAUCUGAUCUUUGUAUCUGGAUUUAUUUGACAGGGACAGUGUUCAUGUUCAUGGACAUCAGGAUAAAAACAGAAGAUGGAAACCUGCCAGAUUUGAGCUAAACUGCUCAUUUCCAUGUGUAGUCCCUGGGCAGGUCACAUGACUCUAUCCAACAUACAAAGACACACAGACACACAAGAAAAGCCAGAGAAACAAAGACAAAUCCAAACAAUCCAUCAUACUGAGUUAAAGUGAUCACAGGUCUGCUUUGUUGGAGAUGAGCCUUCAAAGUGGAACAUGUGGACUGUUCCUUUAUUACUACCACUGAAGGCCACGCCCCUCUGGUCAUGUGAUCAUGUGGUUUGUAGGAACGCUCCUCUUCCUCAGAGGAUCCACCUGUGCUUCCUCUCCUCUCUCCUCCACCUGUUACAGUGAGGGAACGUCCUCCAUGAUGGAGGAGCUGCUGGAAAGUGCUGAGAGUUUCCUCCAGAGUGAGACCUCUGUCACAGUUCAGAGGAUCUACGGCAGCAGAGACCUUCAUGGACACUAAAAGUCUCAAACACACAACAACAACAUCACACUGACUCCACUCUGACAUCACUGAUCAAUAAUCAAAGAACACACAGAUCAAACUGAUUGAUCAGCCAUCAGAGGAGUCGGAUCAAUGGAGCUGCUUCUGUUCCUGAUGUCCCCUGUUUGAUCCUGGACCUGAACUCUCCCUGCAGAGGAGACACAAGACAGUCAGACACACACACACACACACACACACACAGAAACAAACCUUUGACUUUGAGCUGCACUGUUUUAGCUCUGAUCCAGAUGUUCUUGCUGUUGACUCCACCGACAUAUCCUCCACUGUCUCUCUCUGUGGGGUGUUUCAGGGUCAGACUGAGGUCUCCAGUUUUCAGCAGGUCUUCAUUCAUCUUCGUUCGGUCUCUGUAAACCUGGUGCUGUUCUUCAGGCUGGUCAGAGCCGUUCUUAUACAGGUGGACCAUGUUGUAUUCAGGUUCAUAGCGUUUCCACUCCACUUUAGCAUAUCCAGGCAGGUUUUGUGUGGUUUUGAAGGGCAGCUGGACAGACUCCGCCCCCUCCUCCACCUCCACCUGACAGACUGAGAGGACAACAAACACAACAUGAGCUGUACAAAGUGUGAUUGGUGUUGACAGAGCAGCAUCAUGUGACUUUUGUUCUGCACUAAAUGAAGCGAUGGAGUGGCGCCUCCUUCAGGCAGAGAAACAGCUCAUGGAGAGAAAUAAUUAUUAGAGCAAAAACAAGAGUGGAGCUGCAAAUAAGGCCGAGAGGAACGCUGCAGAAAACUGUUCAUGUGUGAAUUCAUCACUUCAUAGAUUUAUUUGAGCACUAAAAUCAGAGCUGCUUCUAUUUCUAAUAUGACAGCUGUACAUUAGAGCUGGAACACUUUAAAUGUGAGCCAUAAAAACAUGAUACUCUACAAGUGCAUUCAGCUCUGACACUGUCACAUCAUGAAGGAGACGUGGAAAUCACUUUGUUACACAAAUCAAAGUCAAAUCAAUUCUAUUGAUGGAAUAUUGUGUGAUCAAUAGACUGAUCAGUUUCUAAUCUGUCAUCUAUCAGCUGGAAAUCCAGCAGUGUCAAACAGACUUGGCAGCAGAUUAGGACCAAACACAAACACAUUGAGACUUUUUCUUCAUCAGCAGUUGCAGGUAAAUUGCAGCAACAAUGCGACUCAGACAGUUUCUCUAUAACUGCAGGGCUUCCUGCGCUGCUGUUAGUCAGAUACGGAUCAACAGGUUG